UGGGGGAUAUUGCACAAUGGGGGGAAACCCUGAUGCAGCAACGCCGCGUGAGGGAUGAAGGUUUUCGGAUUGUAAACCUCUUUUGUCGGGGAGUAAUAGGCGGGACGUGUCCUGCUGUGAGAGUACCCGAAGAAAAAGCAUCGGCUAACUCCGUGCCAGCAGCCGCGGUAAUACGGAGGAUGCGAGCGUUAUCCGGAUUUAUUGGGUUUAAAGGGUGCGCAGGCGGCGUGCCAAGUCAGCGGUCAAAGUUCCGGGCUCAACCCGGUGAUGCCGUUGAAACUGGUGUGCUUGAGUGCGUGCGAGGGAGGCGGAAUGCGUUGUGUAGCGGUGAAAUGCAUAGAUAUGACGCAGAACUCCGAUUGCGAAGGCAGCUUUCCAGCACGCCACUGACGCUGAGGCACGAAAGCGUGGGGAUC
rnacentral:rRNA from 1 species